rnacentral:rRNA from 1 species
CCUUUGUACACACCGCCCGUCGCUACUACCGAUUGAAUGGCUUAGUGAGGUCUCCGGAUUGGCUUUGGGGAGCCGGCAACGGUCUCUGAUUGCUGAGAAGCUGAUCAAACUUGGUCAUUUAGAGG